GCACCCAUCGUCUAGUGGUAAGGACGCUGCCCUUUCAAGGCGGAAACACCGGUUCGAACCCGGUUGGGUGUACCA
rnacentral:tRNA from 1 species